UACGGAGGGUGCGAGCGUUGUCCGGAAUCAUUGGGCGUAAAGGGUGCGUAGGUGGCGCUGUAAGUCAGGUGUGAAAUUUCGGAGCUCAACUCCGAAACUGCAUUUGAUACUGCGGUGCUUGAGGACUGGAGAGGAGACUGGAAUUCACGGUGUAGCAGUGAAAUGCGUAGAGAUCAGGAAGAACACCGGUGGCGAAAGCGCUCUGCUGGACCUAAACUGACACUGAGGGACGAAAGCUAGGGGAGCGAAUGGG
rnacentral:rRNA from 1 species